GGCAGACACUUAAUGACUGAGCCACCCAGGAGCCCCUGGCAGCCAUAAAACCAAGACGAAUAAUAGCAUUGAAUUGCCUUAAGGCUCCUCACACUCUGCUGGAACUCGGCUGUGGAAUCUAUCCCCUCCAUUGAGCUGUGGCUCUAGAAUGAUGAUCAUUUUAUCUAUGUCAUGGAUCCAUUGUAAUGUUAAAAUCAAGCCGUAGGCUCAAUUGUCA